ACGUCGAGCGUGUGACACGUGUCCAAUUCGGCAAUACGCACCGUUUCAUUUAUUUUGCGAAUUGUUUGUGCGGGCUUUGUUAUUAUCGUGGGUCUCAUGUUUGGAUGAAGAGACAUCUAGACAGCCCGAUAGGGGUCGACCCUAAUCUUCUCUUUUGGCCGUCUCCUCGAACUUUUCAUCUUCUCUAUUCGUUUUAUUGCGAGCGACGUCUGAUCUCCAUCUCCAUCCCUGAAACGGUUGCUGUUACGAAUUCUCCAUGUUAAAUCCCUUAUUGAUCCUAUCAACCACGAUAUAGCUUUGAAUGCGCUAUUUUCUUUAGCUAGGCGGUGUAUCGGCAAGUAUAAAAAGGCACAUUGAUAGUCGCUGUUUUCCUUCUUCGCCUUCACCGUCAAUCAUCGCCGCUCCUCUGACCGGUUAGUUCUCUUCUUCUCUUAGUGGAGCACAAUAUAUAUCAUACUUGAUAUAUACUGAGAUUUUGUUUCGAUUAGACUGCAUUUUCCGCUAGAUUGAGAAAUUCGAGUCUGUGUUUUAGAUGAGUAGUUGGGGUCUCUUCAGUUGGUUCAAAGUAUAUGGCUGCUUCAAUCUCAAUAAUACCUAUUCACACUGUUUUAUCUUUGGCAGCUUUAGUACGCAACAGCGCGAAUGCAUCUGGAAAUUGUUUAACCUCUUUUCCAUGUCAUCUCAAGGUCGAUGGUAAGAGUCAAUAUUUAUGCAAGCCAACCGUCAAUGUCAACUCCUUGGUACUUCUCACCUAUUUGAAGGCUGGCUGUCAUAACUACGUCGAGGUCCGUAUCCUAAGCUUCUGGGAAGCAAGGAAUGUGAAGCACAAAGGCGAGCUUAUGGGGCUGACAUGCUCCUCCUUGACCCAAAGGUGGUGACGGAAACGAUGGUGUUAGAACGACCAGACAGUAAGUCGCAUAGAUUUUACUGUGAAGUAAGCGCCAGUGAGGUUUUUAGUCUCAUCCUGGCCAGAAGCUCCCACGUCUCCUCCUUCGUACCUCAAGGCGGCUCUCUCCGCAUCAUCCAAAUCAAACUAUUGCGUCCUUCCAAUAAUCUCUUGCUCGGGCAUGUAUGUACACUCAUCUCAAGGGUUUGGCUCCCGACAACUCUGAACCAUUACUCGAUGGAGCCACUGUUAGCUAUUGUGUCAGAGAGACGUAAUGUUGCAGUGCCAUCCACGUUCUACAGAAGAAGAAAUAUUCCAAAUAUCUGUCAAGAGAUUGAGUUGGUGGAAUUGUGGACAAAUCCCUGAAGCUCUAAGUAGUAUGCCUAAUGUAUAUUCAUCCCUCAUCGUGUAUAAGAUUCUGCAGCUUAGUAAAAAUGAGAAAGAUAAUCUCUUGCUAGUAACCUGAAGCAACUUCAAGUGGUCUCAUUAAAAAAAAAACUCUGGCCUCAGCAUCUACCAAGUUGACCAAGAAUGCCCGCCAAGGUGGAGUAUGCAAUAUCGACGUUAGUACUUUUUAUGUAACCACAUCGUUGUUGUCUUUUUUUUUCAAUAUAUGCAGCCCACAUGAUUCUAAAAACAUCAAAAGAUACAUUAGUAGCUUCUUUAACUAUUUGCUAUGUUUUAGAGACAAUCUUAUAUCCACGAGAUAUAUCCUACUACCUUAUUCAUACAGCAACUUAAAAACAUCAUUAGUUUUAAGUUGUAACCUCAUAAAAUUAUUCAUUUAUUUGACAUAGCUCCAAAAUAUUUAAUCGAUAUACUAUAAAUUAUACUAACAUAUGUAGAAAUACAUAAAAAUAAUAGUAAUAGAUUGUACUCGCAUAAUACUGCUAGGUGAAAAAAUAUACAUCGCAUAUUGUGAUGUGUAAAAAGUAUACAUCGCAUAGUCUGAUGUAAGA